GCCUGGCUGGCUCAGUUUGUAGAGCAUGCAACUCUUGAUCUCAGGGUCAUGAGUUCAAGCCCCAUGUGGGGCA
rnacentral:tRNA from 1 species